UGCCAGCCGCCGCGGUAAUACAUAGGGGUCAAGCGUUGUUCGGAAUUACUGGGCGUAAAGCGCACGUAGGCGGAUUAGUAAGUUAGAGGUGAAAUCCCAGGGCUCAACCCUGGAACUGCCUUUAAUACUGCUAGUCUUGAGUUCGAGAGAGGUAAGUGGAAUUCCGAGUGUAGAGGUGAAAUUCGUAGAUAUCCGGAGGAACACCAGUGGCGAAGGCGGCUUACUGGCUCGAUACUGACGCUGAGGUGCGAAAGUGUGGGGAGCAAUCAGGAUUAGAUA
rnacentral:rRNA from 1 species